UACGUAGGGGGCAAGCGUUAUCCGGAUUUACUGGGUGUAAAGGGAGCGCAGGCGGCGCGGCAAGUCUGAUGUGAAAGCCCGGGGCUCAACCCCGGGACUGCAUUGGAAACUGUCGCGCUCGAGUGUCGGAGAGGUAAGUGGAAUUCCUAGUGUAGCGGUGAAAUGCUUAGAUAUCACGAAGAACUCCGAUUGCGAAGGCAGCUCACUGGACUGCAACUGACACUGAGGCUCGAAAGUGUGGGUAUCAAACAGG
rnacentral:rRNA from 1 species